CUUAGUACAAGGAGACAAGGAUGGAUCAAUUCGCAUUCUUCUGCAUGCUGACCUCCAGUUGAACCAGCACCAUUUGUUGAAAAGGCUAUCUUUUUUCCAUUGAAUGUUUUCAGCCUCUUUGUCGAGGAUCAAGUGGCCAUAGAUGUGUGGGUUCAUUUCUGG